ACCUGAUAAUUUUUACUUAUGCUCCAUUUAUAUGAGUGGAAUAGAGGGACCUCAAAGACCAUGGUGAUUAUUCAUAUAUGGUUUGAUGCCCUUUUAUUCCACUGCAGAGGCUUAAAGGAGCCACUGUGGUAAUAAGAUUCAUGCCCACCAUUUUACUUACAUGAAAUCACUGACUUGAUGAAUGAUACUGAUAUGGAACGUUUACUUUUUUGCAGGUGUGAAGGGAAAAAUUAAUCCUGGGGACUUCAACAAAAAACCCAGUGACUUCAGCCAAAACUGUUCGCACAUGGAAAAAUUUCUGAUAACCCUUAUCACAGACACGGAGUGACACAUGGGCAUGUCCACUUACUUUGACUUUUAGGAAGUGGAAAAGGAGGAGGAAAUGCAAGAACCAGAUUUAAAAAACAGCCUGUGGCAAAGUAAGGAGUUUUCAGGUUGUCAGCGUGAACGUCUCAGUGGAUAAAUAGUAUACAGAUUUUCCUGAAAUGUGCUUUGAGGGCAGCAGCUUGGAAAAUGAAGAACAGAUCCUUCAGAUCUCUGAAAUUAAUGGGGAAAUUCAGUGAAAUUUGGAUUAGACUCUGAUGAUAAAGCAAUCUGAAACAGAAACAUCAUUAAAAGAUACUGGCUCACUGUGAAUCCUAAGACAUGUGAUGCAGCUGGGUAUGCUGACUUUACUGGAAGAUUCAUGGACAGUUACUGUAGUGUUAUGAUGUUUCCAGACAAACGUAUAUAUUGCAGUCCCUCCCUCCUGAGCCUCGAUCAUCCCAUCCUGCUGGACAUCCCCUGGGGAUGCCCCUGUGCCAGGCUGAGCCGGAGAAGGGACAAUUUUCUAAAUAUUCUCUGUGCGGGAAGACAGCCAUAAGAAAAUGCUGUUAUAAAGUGUGCUUCUCUGAUCUUUCAGCUUUCUGGUUUUGAUGGUGUAAGGAAAUAAGAAAGCCACUUCUUCAAAAUACAGCCUCUGAGGCCAGAGACAAAUUUGACCUCUUCUCAAACAUUUCUCCUCUGCUCAGAGAGGUUGAUCCACAGGAACCGAUGCCAAAAGAAGGUGCUCAGGUUCCAGGGCCUGCUCCUGCAUGAGAAUAACUGGUGUUGGAACAGAAGAGCUGCUGCGCUCCAAGCAGCAGAGACAAUGUGAUCCUUCCCAAAACUAAUGCUCUUUGCAGAAUUGGAAGGACCAUGGUUUUCUGGCCUGUCUUGUCUUAUACAUGCCUAGCCACAUUUGCCUUUCUUUACUUCCUAAAGACAGUAAAAACGCUGACUUUUUCAGCAAGGUUCACAAAACUUCUUGUUUCCAUUAAACCAUUUUUCUUAGUGUUAAUUGCAUUACACACCUCUAGUUCUCUGCUAAAUUAGCCCUCCAUUAGCUUUUGCAUUAUUUUAUCCUUUCAGCUCAGGCUGAAAGGGCUGUAAUUGUCUGGGUUACACAUAUAACUUAAAAAAAAAAAAAAAAAAAAAAAAAGACUGGUGUGAUGUUGGCUUAGUUUUUGCUGUCCAUUGGAACUUCUCUAGUGUUCUCAGACUUACCAAAAAGGAAUAUUCAUGGUUUUGAAAUUUCUUCAGCCAGCUUUUUUAAAGUUUUGGUUGCAAAUUAUGCAGGUCUGGUGUUUUAAUUUAAUGUUCUCCUGAUGUACUGCUGGAAUGAACAACAUUGCAUUGUCUUCUUAUGACAGGACUGAUUUUGUGUGAUUUUUCUUCAAACAAAGAUCAGAUUUAUUUACAGAACAUACAGAUUUUUGCAUAAAUUAUUGACAUGAAUACACUUCUGUGUAGUGAAGACCAAAAAUCUUUCUUGUUAUCCUUAACUCUCAUUAAAGUCUUUCUUGCUUCCAUCCUUAUCCAUUUUCUGUAGUUAUUAUCUUCUGCCUAAUACUCAUGACUUCUAAUAAAUGUCUUUUUUUGCACAAUUAUUUUGAUUUACAUAGCUGUUUUCACUUCUAUGCAAGUCAACAUUUAGGCUAGCCCAGCUUUCAUUCUGUUUUUUAAAACCUCUGGUAAAGUGUUUUUAAACACUUUCCAGUUAUUAUCCACAUUUCCUCUAAUUUCUUUCUCCCAUCUGAUUUAGAUCAUAAUUGUUUUCAGCUUUGCAAAAUUGGCUCUUCCAAUCCAUUGAGUAUAUAUAUAUUACUGGUCUGGAAUUAAUUCUGAUUAUAUAUAACAAACAGAAGCAAAUCAUGAUCACUUUUAUCUAAGCUACUGCUGAUUUCUUUAGUCUAGUUCUAUGAUAUUUUAUUUUCAUCCAUAAGGAUAAAAUAACGCAAUACAGCAUUCCAAAAGUGUUGGAUCCAGCACUUUUUAAGGAGUUUAUAAUUUAUGGCAUAUUCCAAGGAUAUAUUAAUUUGGUGGCAUGAAAACUCCAAACCAUGCUAUUCAGAUUGAAGUGCUGACAUUGCAUGCUUUAUAUUUCUUCUUCUUUUAUGGGUGCUUACUUAAGGAGAUAGUUUUCCUCUUCUUUUGGUAAUUACUUACAGAAGGCAGUAAUAACAGAAAAAACAGAAAAACCUUUUUGUACCUUUCUGUAACACGCCAUUCUACAGAUUAAUACUUACAUAUGUCUUUGUGUCUAUUUCCCAGUUUUGUCAUAUUUCUUUUACCUUAUUUUGAUGAUGUAACAGAAUUUAGAAAGGACAGAACUGGCUUCUUACAGAAUCCUUCCCAAGGAAGAGGGAUGGAUUGGAAGUGGAAUAUAUUUGACAGCUCCACUUCAACUGACAUUUUAAGGAGGGCAUAGUGCCUGUCUCAGCUUUUUGUACUUUCUUGAUGCUUUCCUCAAUAGAUUGCCAGAUGGUAAAGUGGAUUAGAGAAUCAGGCUUCAGUACAACAUGUACCCUAGAAACCAGGAAACUGCCUCUUGAGUGGGAGACACUGCUAAUUUCGGUGGAUCUAGUAUCUGGCUCUGUAUUGUAAUUGUUAAUGGACAAAUUUAGAAAUGACAGCCAACUUUGUGCCCUGAUCUAGGGAAGAUGAUCUCAUUUUGAGUAUGAUGUUCUUCAUGUUUAUUUCCUGCUAGGAAUUUUUUAAAGCUCUUUGCAGCUACCUCAUUUAUGAUUCCGUUCAUCUUUAGUUUGUUGAUGUUAAACACUUACAUUUGUGUGUUUUUAAUUUGAAACCCUAUUAUUUUUUGUGCAGUUAUGAUUCCAUCUUUCAAAUUAGAUCAAUGUUCAACAGAAUUAGUCAAUUUAUAUUGUCAAAAAUGUAUUGAAUUUCUUAUUGAAACCCUCUGCUUUUUUAUAAAAUGACCUUUUUGCUUUAGGACUACCGAUAUAAUUACUAACAAUAAAAUAUUUUUCUGUGGCCUCUAAAUGCUCAAGAAAAUGCAUCUCUUGGAAAAUAGAGAUUUAUGAAAUUACUUUUUUUGAUGAAAAAUGUAGACUCACUAUUGCCAAAUGUUUAAUGAAUACAUGUCAGUCUUUGCCACAUUUUAUUUUUGUUGAUUUAAAAAGCUGAAUAUAA